ACCUUCGUGGUGUAAUGGUAGCACACUCGGUGCGUAUUCAAGAGAUCCAGGUUCGAGUCCCGGCGAGGGCA
rnacentral:tRNA from 1 species